rnacentral:rRNA from 1 species
GUCUAUGGCUAUAUCACGGCGUCUUCCAUGUAUCUCUUCUGAUCUAAGUAGAGCCUAAUUAGUACUUGGAUGGGAGAUUGCCUGAGAUAACUAGAUACUGUAGGCU